UACGGAGGGUGCAAGCGUUGCUCGGAAUUACUGGGCGUAAAGCGUACGCAGGCUGUUCGUUAAGUCGGGUGUGAAAUCCCGGGGCUCAACCCCGGAAUUGCGCCCGAAACUGGCGAGCUUGAGUGCGGGAGAGGGAAGCGGAAUUCCUGGUGUAGAGGUGAAAUUCGUAGAUAUCAGGAGGAACACCGGUGGCGAAAGCGGCUGCCUAGCCCGACACUGACGCUCAUGUACGAAAGCGUGGGGAGCAAACAGG
rnacentral:rRNA from 1 species